UACGGGGGGGGGCAAGCGUUGUUCGGAAUUACUGGGCGUAAAGGCUCGUAGGUGGCCAACUAAGUCAGACGUGAAAUCCCUCGGCUUAACCGGGGAACUGCGUCUGAUACUGGAUGGCUUGAGUUUGGGAGAGGGACGCGGAAUUCCAGGUGUAGCGGUGAAAUGCGUAGAUAUCUGGAGGAACACCGGUGGCGAAGGCGGCGUCCUGGACCAACACUGACACUGAGGAGCGAAAGCCAGGGGAGCAAACGGG
rnacentral:rRNA from 1 species